UACGUAGGUGGCAAGCGUUACUCGGAAUCACUAGGCGUAAAGCGCAGGUAGGAGGUUUGGUAAGUCUGUUGUGAAAUCCCUCGGCUCAACCAAGGAAGUGCAUCCGAAACUGCUGAGCUUGAGUACUUAAGAGGAUCGCGGAAUUCCCGGUGUAGAGGUGAAAUUCGUAGAUAUCGGGAGGAACACCAGUGGCGAAGGCGGCGAUCUGGGAAGAUACUGACGCUGAGGUGCGAAAGCGUGGGGAGCAAACAGG
rnacentral:rRNA from 1 species